CGUGUUCAUGGGUGGCGGGACGCCCAGCCUGUUUUCCGCGGGGGCGAUGGACCGGUUGCUCGCCGGCGUGCGCGCC
rnacentral:tRNA from 1 species